rnacentral:misc_RNA from 1 species
GAUGAAGAACGUAGCGAAAUGCGAUAAGUAAUGUGAAUUGCAGAAUUCAGUGAAUCAUCGAAUCUUUGAACGCACAUUGCGCCCGCCAGUAUUCUGGCGGGCAUGCCUGUUCGAGCGUCAUUACAACCCUCAGGCCCCCGGGCCUGGCGUUGGGGAUCGGCGGAGCCCCCCGUGGGCACACGCCGUCCUCCAAAUGCAGUGGCGGUCCCGCCGCAGCUUCCAUCGCGUAGUAGCUAACACCUCGCGACUGGAGAGCGGCGCGGCCACGCCGUAAAACACCCAACUCUUCUGAAGUUGACCUCGAAUCAGGUAGGAAUACCCGCUGAACUUAAGCAUAUCAAUAAGCGGAGGA